AUUUCUUUUUUCCACCGGCGGUGACUCCAACCGUCGCCGUCUCAACUCCGCCUUUCCUCACCUUCUAUUUCUCCCUUGGGAGAUCGGAUCCCGUCACCAACCGGUCGAGCGCUGGGAUUCUUGACCCAUGGCGACCGCUCAGGACCCACCGCGCGGCGAGCUCGAGCCCAAUCUCCGCCACCGCCUCCCCCUCCCGAGAUGGGGCGACCGGCGAACAACUCGCCGCGCCCCUGCCGAACGAAGCGGCGGAGAUGGAACCCCGACCGCGGGGCAGCUCGGCUGCGGGAGAUUCCCUCUGGCGCAGGACGGAGUCGGUGGGGGCGAGGACGGAGGGCUGGAAGAGCUGAGGGCGAAGCUGAUGGGCCAUCUCCGGGUGGCUGCCGACCGGAUGAAGAUUGCGACGCCGGAGGCGGCCCCGGAGGCCUCGAGGCCGUGGAACCUGAGGGCCAGGAAGACCCCAAACGGGAACCCGGUGUGCGCGAUCGCCGGGGCCACCGCCGCCCCGGCUGCGGCGGCGGGAUCCGCGGCGGAGGAGGAGAGGAAGAUAGGCCUGUCGGUGACGCUUACGGCGGAGGAGAUCGAGGAGGACAUCUACUCCGUGACGGGAUCACGGCCUCGCCGGCGGCCAAAAAAGCGGCCAAGGGUUGUACAACGGCAGAUUGACAGUCCUUCAAUGAAGGAGAAUCUACAUGAACUUUGAUCAAGUCAGUUUAAUUCUGCCAGAAGGUGUUCAAUUACUGUCACAUGGAGAACUUUAAACCAGGACGUGCUGAAUAACGUAAUUCAUUAGUGGCUAAAACUGCCCCUUCAGUACCUUGUAGCGCUUGUACAGCCUUUGAGCAUUGUGAUUUUCAGCUUAAAUAGGCCUGGUUUGGUCUAGACUGAUCUGGUUUGCACAGGGGAUGAUAGAGAACUUGUCGCUCUUCCCUGGGCUGUGGCUGUCUGACAUCACAGUAGAGGCUUACAAAGUUGACGACGACUAAACCCAUGCUCGCGUAGCCUUGGUCGUUCCCAUCUCAAAGUUCAUGCCCUCCUUUCAUCACCCUCAAAUGUUACAGCUAGUCCGCUGCUGCAGUGAAAUCAUGUUUGGUUUCUUAAAUGUAUAGUGCUUUACAAAAAGAAAUUGGAUCCUGUAAAUGCUUUUCCCUCUGUCAGAUAGCAGAGCAUAGCAGAAACUCGAACCCUCUUUUGCCUUGCUCACAGCAUAUAUGGAAGCUGCUAUUUGAGUUUUGUGAAGUAGCUAAACUAGCAAUGCAAAGAAGUCUUUUAGUGCAAAAUUCUAAAUUGUUACUUGUGACAAUGGUUCCUACUUUGUGAAUUUCACAUCCCUGGAUUUGUAUAAUCUACAUGGAAAUGUUCACAUGAAUAAGAUGGCACUCAACUUAAACAAGUUGUGUUCCAUUUUCAACUUUGUUCUAGUGGUAAAAGUUGAAAGCUGCCACAAUUUUGUCGAGAUGUUGGUGAAACUUUAUCUAAUCACUUGUGUUUAUCUUGUUUUAAUUCUGUGUAUAUUCUGUUCAUCUUA